UCAAGCAAUAAGGGCACAGGGCGGAUGCCUUGGCACUAAGAGCCGAUGAAAGACGUGAUAAGCUGCGAAAAGCUUCGGGGAGGGGCAAAUACCCAUUGAUCCGGAGAUUUCUGAAUGGGGAAACCUACCUGAGCAAACCUCAGGUAUCCUGACGCCAAUCCAUAACGUCAGGAAGGGAACCCGGUGAACUGAAACAUCUAAGUAGCCGGAGGAAGAGAAAACAACAUGUGAUUCUGUGAGUAGCGGCGAGCGAAAACGGAAGAGCCCAAACCAGUGUGCGUGCAUGCUGGGGUUCGGACCGCGGAAUUGAUUCAACAAGUUUAGCAGAACGGUUUUGGGAAAGCCGGCCAGAGAGGGUGAAAGCCCCGUAAGCGAAAGACGAGUUGACAUGGCGGGAUCCAGAGUACCACGAGACACGUGGAACCUUGUGGGAAUAUGCGGGGACCACCCCGUAAGGCUAAAUACUACUUAGUGACCGAUAGUGCAUAGUACUGUGAAGGAAAGGUGAAAAGGACCCCGGGAGGGGAGUGAAAAAGAACCUGAAACCAUAUGUUUACAAGCUGUGGAAGAGCUUUAUAUGCUCAACCGCGUACUUUUUGUAGAACGGUCCGGCGAGUUACGCUGGCUGGCGAGGUUAAGCACUGAAGGUGUGGAGCCGAAGGGAAACCAAGUCUGAAUAGGGCGAAGAGUCAGUCGGAGUAGACCCGAAACCGGGUGAUCUAUCCAUGUCCAGGUUGAAGUUGCCGUAAAAGGCAAUGGAGGACCGAACCCACAUCCGUUGAAAAGGGUGGGGAUGAGGUGUGGAUAGGGGAGAAAUUCCAAUCGAACCCGGAGAUAGCUGGUUCUCCUCGAAAUAGCUUUAGGGCUAGCCUCGAUUUAGUCUUAUGGAGGUAGAGCACUGAAUUUCCGCGGGGGCGUCAAAGCUUACCAAAGAAUAUCAAACUCCGAAUGCCAUGUAGAUGAUGAUCGGGAGUCAGACUGCACGAGAUAAGUUGGGCAGUCAAAAGGGAAAGAGCCCAGACCACCGGCUAAGGUCCCAAAGUGCGUGUUAAGUGGAAAAGGAUGUGGGAAUUCGAAGACAACUAGGAUGUUGGCUCAGAAGCAGCCAUACAUUCAAAGAGUGCGUAACAGCUCACUAGUCGAGAGUUCCUGCGCCGAAAAUGUCCGGGGCUGAAACACGACACCGAAGCCGUGGACUCGCAAUGCGAGUGGUAGAGGAGCAUUCUUAAAACCGACGAAGCUGUACCGAAAGGAGCAGUGGAGGGAUAAGAAGAGAGAAUGCCGGAAUGAGUAGCGAGAGAAAGGUGGGAAUCCUUUCGGCCGAAUAUCUAAGGUUUCCAGAGUAAAGCUGAUCUGCUCUGGGUAAGUCGGGGCCUAAGCACAGGUCGCAAGACGUAAGCGAUGGAUAACAGGUUUAGAUUCCUGUACCACGCAUUAUCAGAACUGUAGGGACGCAUGUGGAAAGCACGAGCCGGGAAUGGAAAGACCGGUACAAGCGGGGUAGGUGUACAAUAGGCAAAUCCGUUGUAUAAUCCGAAGACGUGAUGUGGAGCGAAAUAAAGUAGUGAAGCGUGUGAGCCAUGUGCCGAGAAAAGCUGCUAUUGUGUAAUGCGUGCCCGUACCGUAAACCGACACAGGUGGAUGAGGAGAGAAUCCUAAGGCCGGCGGAAGAAGCAUUGUUAAGGAAUUCGGCAAAAUGACCCCGUAACUUCGGGAGAAGGGGUGCCUGCGAGAGCAGGCCGCAGAGAAUAGGCUCAAGCAACUGUUUAGCAAAAACACAGGUCUAUGCGAAACCGAAAGGUGAAGUAUAUGGGCUGACGCCUGCCCGGUGCUGGAAGGUUAAGAGGAGAGGUUAGCGCAAGCGAAGCUUUGAAUUUAAGCCCCAGUAAACGGCGGCCGUAACUAUAACGGUCCUAAGGUAGCGAAAUUCCUUGUCGGGUAAGUUCCGACCCGCACGAAAGGCGUAAUGAUUUGAGCGCUGUCUCGACAAUGCAUCCGGUGAAAUUGAAGUACCAGUGAAGAUGCUGGUUACCUGCGCCAGGACGGAAAGACCCCAUGGAGCUUUACUCCAGUCUGGUGUUGGGAAGAGGGGCUGCAAGGACAGGGUAGGUAGGAGACUAAGAAGGAUGGGCGCGAGUCUGUGCGGAGU
rnacentral:rRNA from 1 species